AGCCUGACGAAUUUUUACUUUUUAACAAGUGUGCAUUAUAACUUCUACUUGGUGAGUCACGGGCCCAUUAGCACACUGAAGACAGAAAGGUCUCCCUACAGAGCCACUGUGCUAAGCAUACAACAAAUAAACUUUAUUUAACUUGUUUACCUCAGCGUUUCUCAAACUUCCUUAUUUUAUGGACCACUAAGAAAGAAAAGCAUUGUGAUUAUAACUAUCAUUCAGUGCUAGAUGCCAGCAAAGGCAUCAGAGAUGUUACAGCUCAACAUGAUGGUCUGCUGGGAACGGGUUUACUGUGGUGCAAGAUGACCUCAUGCCCUUUUAUUUCUCAAAUAUUACUGAGAAUCCAGUUCUUUGGAACAACACCGCUUGGAAACCUAUGCUCUGGCCUAGAGCUUUCAUAAUCAUUUCAGGGGAAAGAGUAAUUUUUUCCGAUUAAGAAGACUAAGAGAAUAACAUUUUGGAGAGAGCAAGUACUCAUUAGCUGUUCAGUGUGCGCUAAAUUGACCUCCAGUUAAAAGGUAAUUUCCAGGUACACAUCAGCACGUAACUGUCCAGCUGUCCGCAAUGAGCAUGCAAAUCUCUUUAAAUUCAGAUGGCAUGUAAUUAAGUCACCCAGCUGGCUGGCAGCUCCUCCCCGCAGGUAGUUUACUUUCACUUGAAUUGACCCUUUUGCUUCCGAACAUCCUCACACCCUGAAGUGACUCAACUUCAUAACCACACUAAAAUCUCUAGCGUUACACUCGGCUUGGGUGCGGGGCAUCAGGAAUUCUACAGUGAGUCAGAUGAAGCCUGAGAGUCCGGAGGAGGCUUGGAGGCUACAUCUGCUUCCCGGGAAUGGGGCGCGGUUGCUAGCCCGGGUCCUCAGCUCCUCCGCACCAGCGCGUGGGCUUGGCCCAAGCCUCCCGCAUUGACACCCUUCUUCCACCUGGUCUAACUCCUCCUCCUCCUCCCUUCUCCCUCCUCCUCCUCCUCCUCCUCCUCCUCCUCCUCCUCCUCCUCCUCCUCCUCCUCCUCCUCCUCCUCCUCCUCCUCCUCCUCCUCCUCCUCCUCCUCCUCCUCCUCCUCCUCCUCCUCCUCCUCCUCCUCCUCCUCCUCCUCCUCCUCCUCCUCCUCCUCCUCCUCCUCCUCCUCCUCCUCCUCCUCCUCCUCCUCCUCCUCCUCCUCCUCCUCCUCCUCCUCCUCCUCCUCCUCCUCUCACCCAGGAACGGCCGCCCCCGAGGGUCUGACUUCCGGGGAUAUCAGGGACCAUCCCAGGCAGCCCAGGGCCCUCUGUGUAUACACGCUGCCUCUCUGGGUUGUCGACUUGGUCCCGUCGGCGAACGUCUCCCUGCACCAGCAUCGAGUGUGCCCCAAUCUAUGCAUAGUCCGUGCACAGCGUGUGCACCCCAGCUGCAGAGCCUGCGUGACACCUGGAGCCACUCGUCCCCUCCCCCAUCCCCAUCUAUGGUUUCCGAAGCCACCGUUUGUCUCUGUGCGUCUCUACACAGUGAGUCACAGCCUGAUCAAGGCUUCACUUUUUCUGUCACUCUGCACCACGCAGUAGAAAGCGCUUGGGCUGUAGAUUCAUUGCCCUGGAUUUCAGUCCUGCCGCCAC
rnacentral:lncRNA from 1 species